GGUUGGGACAUCUGCCAUCCCAUUGAUUGCCAGGAUUGAUUGGGUUGAUCUGGCUGGCUGGACAAAUAUUUCUCCCUCACCUCUCCGUGUGCAUCCAUCCUGAAUUUUUGCUCUUGUUGAAAGAGAAUGACCAUUGUCCGCAUGAGAAGUGUAUCAUUCUCAGGACAAUAUAUUGUUCUUUGGUAUAUGUGAUACCAGAGUGAAUUGUACUUUGGUAUAAACCCGUGAUGGNCACACACAUGGGAGCACUAAAAACUGGAAAACCAGCCAGCUGGUCUUU
rnacentral:snRNA from 1 species